GCCAAAGUUGUUAUCAGUCUACGUCAUGCAACCGCUAUAAAUAAUCUUAUAGCAACCAGUUCUUCGCAGUUCAAGGUAGGCAUUCAACUCGUCGAGACGCUAACCAUAUUAUCUUAUCUGUAAACAUGAAGUUAUUCUCAAUUUUUCUUUGUCUUUUUAUAAUUGCUGUAUACUCUGCGCCGCAACCAAUUAAUCAAGAGGAGUUAACAAGGAUCGAAAAUGAAAAAGGGGGUUAUGUAAAUUUACAACGAGUCAAGAGGAACGAUAAUACCGGUGGUGUAGAUAUUUCCAAAGAUGGUGAUGAUACGGUAGCAACGAUUAUAUUGAAUAGCAAAAAUGAUAGAUAUAAUCUCCUUGGAACUUGGAUCAAAGUUAUUGAUGGCCCUAAUAAAGGAAAACCAAAAUUUAGAAUUGGGGGAAAUUUUACUUUUUAAUGGAACUUUAAAUCAUGUUUCUAGUAUUAUUUUUUGCUAUUUGUAAUUUAUGCUUCUUUGUGAUAUUAAGAAAUAAAAUAAAAUAAUGUAAUAU